rnacentral:misc_RNA from 1 species
GAAAGUAGUGCACAAUCUUUGAGAAUGCUUGAGCUAAAGUGCCAUCUUAUAUUUAUAACAUUAGAGUCAUGUUUCCUCAACAAAUGUGACUUCUAUCCCUGUACCAGAAAAAUGUGUUGUACCUUUUCAGAAAGUUCUAAUACUGAAUCAGAUGAACAAGUAGAAAAAGAGUUGAGGCUUAGCAGGUUGAUAUCGAUAAGUCGAUGAAUGUAACAUUUCUGCAGUAAAUUCCUUCAUAGGUCAUCAUGUAUGUAUUAUGUUGCUACAGUGAUAUUUUCAUCAUCUGAAUUGUCCUCCUCCACUCUCACGUGCUCAUCUGAAUCAAUCGAAGGCUGAUACUGAUACUUUGAGUCUGUUACCAUGGCGAUCUUUUCAUUUUCAAAGUUAUCUUCAACUUUCGUUUCUCUGUAAUCUUUUGGAAGAAUAUUACAGUUAAUGGUAUGCCACACUGGUCUUUCUUCUUGAAAGAGCGGGUGUUUGCAGAGGGUUGGGCAGUGUACGGUGAGAGCGUAUUUGCAGGUGGACAAUUCAGUUAUAGAGCUUAUCAUUGCUCUAGGCUCUGAGCAAACAAACCUCACCUCUGUCUGUCGUGGCUCAUUUGUUAAAUCACACAUGGUUCCAUUAGUAUAUAUAUGAGCAUGAUAUCUUUGUGAUGCAUCUUUCGAACGGGGAUCCUUUAGUACUGAACUAUCUGAGUGCUUCUGAUGAUAAGCUGCGGUAGCCACAGCAUCAUAAUUACCCAAGAUAAAUUCUUGAACCAACUUUUCAUCCUCCAAAUGAACUUGCCUCAACUUCUUCUCAUAACAGAAUUCAUAUGACCACCACCCUUCUUGCCUGACAAGGCAUUUAUCCUUCAGUACUUCAAGUAGUUCAUCUGGCGUCUUCAACUUGAUGCGUUUCUCAGUGUCCACGACCAAACUGCUUAUAUUGGUUGUCACUGGUUUACCAAUCUUCGGUUUAUCGACUUUAGGCAAAUAACAGAGGAACUUCUCCCCAUUUUUGUUGGGCAUGAGAAUAGUUUCCUGAUCAUCAUCCGGUUGGAAAGGUGAGUCUUCUGAAUGAAACUCAACCUUAUAUUUUGGUUCUUUAGAACUUUGACUGAAUGAUGCGCCUGCGUGAACAGAUAAUAUCUGAGAGGAAGUAACGACGCCGUAUAAGAGGCUAAUGGAG